rnacentral:rRNA from 1 species
AGAGUUUGAUCCUGGCUCAGGACGAACGCUGGCGGCGCGCCUAACACAUGCAAGUCGAACGGAGCUUAGAGAGCUUGCUUUUUAAGCUUAGUGGCGAACGGGUGAGUAACGCGUGAGUAACCUGCCCUAGAGUGGGGGACAACAGUUGGAAACGACUGCUAAUACCGCAUAAGCCCACGGUAUCGCAUGAUACUGAGGGAAAAGGAUUUAUUCGCUUUAGGAUGGACUCGCGUCCAAUUAGCUAGUUGGUGAGGUAACGGCCCACCAAGGCGACGAUCGGUAGCCGGACUGAGAGGUUGAACGGCCACAUUGGGACUGAGACACGGCCCAGACUCCUACGGGAGGCAGCAGUGGGGAAUAUUGCACAAUGGGGGAAACCCUGAUGCAGCGACGCCGCGUGGAGGAAGAAGGUCUUCGGAUUGUAAACUCCUGUUGUUGAGGAAGAUAAUGACGGUACUCAACAAGGAAGUGACGGCUAACUACGUGCCAGCAGCCGCGGUAAAACGUAGGUCACAAGCGUUGUCCGGAAUUACUGGGUGUAAAGGGAGCGCAGGCGGGAAGACAAGUUGGAAGUGAAAUCUAUGGGCUCAACCCAUAAACUGCUUUCAAAACUGUUUUUCUUGAGUAGUGCAGAGGUAGGCGGAAUUCCCGGUGUAGCGGUGGAAUGCGUAGAUAUCGGGAGGAACACCAGUGGCGAAGGCGGCCUACUGGGCACCAACUGACGCUGAGGCUCGAAAGUGUGGGUAGCAAACAGGAUUAGAUACCCUGGUAGUCCACACCGUAAACGAUGAUUACUAGGUGUUGGAGGAUUGACCCCUUCAGUGCCGCAGUUAACACAAUAAGUAAUCCACCUGGGGAGUACGACCGCAAGGUUGAAACUCAAAGGAAUUGACGGGGGCCCGCACAAGCAGUGGAGUAUGUGGUUUAAUUCGACGCAACGCGAAGAACCUUACCAAGUCUUGACAUCCCUUGACGAUGCUGGAAACAGUAUUUCUCUUCGGAGCAAGGAGACAGGUGGUGCAUGGUUGUCGUCAGCUCGUGUCGUGAGAUGUUGGGUUAAGUCCCGCAACGAGCGCAACCCUUAUCUUUAGUAGCCAGCGGUUCGGCCGGGCACUCUAGAGAGACUGCCAGGGAUAACCUGGAGGAAGGCGGGGAUGACGUCAAAUCAUCAUGCCCCUUAUGACUUGGGCUACACACGUGCUACAAUGGCGUAAACAAAGGGAAGCAAAGCUGUGAAGCCGAGCAAAUCUCAAAAAUAACGUCUCAGUUCGGACUGUAGUCUGCAACCCGACUACACGAAGCUGGAAUCGCUAGUAAUCGCGGAUCAGAAUGCCGCGGUGAAUACGUUCCCGGGUCUUGUACACACCGCCCGUCACACCAUGGGAGUCAGUAACGCCCGAAGUCAGUGACCUAACUGCAAAGAAGGAGCUGCCGAAGGCGGGACCGAUGACUGGGGUGAAGUCGUAACAAGGUAGCCGUAUCGGAAGGUGCGGCUG